rnacentral:rRNA from 1 species
CUUCCGUAAGGUACCUGCGGAGGGAUCAUUGCUGGAACGCGCCCCAGGCGCACCCAGAAACCCUUUGUGAACUUAUACCUUACUGUUGCCUCGGCGCUAGCUGGUCCUCCGGGGCCCCUCCUUCUGGAGGAGCAGGCACGCCGGCGGCCAACCCAACUCUUGUUUUUACACUGAAACUCUGAGAAUAAAACAUAAAUGAAUCAAAACUUUCAACAACGGAUCUCUUGGUUCUGGCAUCGAUGAAGAACGCAGCGAAAUGCGAUAAGUAAUGUGAAUUGCAGAAUUCAGUGAAUCAUCGAAUCUUUGAACGCACAUUGCGCCCUCUGGUAUUCCGGAGGGCAUGCCUGUUCGAGCGUCAUUUCAACCCUCAAGCCUGGCUUGGUGAUGGGGCACUGCCUGUAAAAGGGCAGGCCCUGAAAUUCAGUGGCGAGCUCGCCAGGACCCCGAGCGCAGUAGUUAAACCCUCGCUUUGGAAGGCCCUGGCGGUGCCCUGCCGUUAAACCCCCAACUUCUGAAAAUUUGACCUCGGAUCAGGUAGGAAUACCCGCUGAACUUAAGCAUAUCAAUAAGCGGAGGAA